rnacentral:lncRNA from 1 species
CCAGGACCUUAAAAAGAGCCCAAGUUGUUGAGCUCCCUGCCAAGUCACCCCCAGGUAUCUCUGCCCACCAGCUUGCAUGAGCCAGAUCCUCAGUGCAGGUUUUUCCAAUCAGUCAUUUGUUCUUCCACCCAACGCUCAAGAUUUGCUUCUUCAAGACAACUCUCUGAUCAGCUGAGACCCAUAGACACCCAGCUUCUACCACACAUAUGAUGGCAUUAUCCUAGGGCAUGGCAGAGCAACGCAAGGGAAAACUCUGGGCCCCCAAGUGAUGUCAUGGAGGAGAACUCUCAACCCAGAACUACUACGUGAGAAACAACGCUCUCUCUUCUUUAAGCCAUAGGUGUGUUGGGAAUCUUUGUUACAGCAGCACGCCUGAUCUUUUGUUUUGUUUUGUUUUGUUUUAGAGAUGGAGUCUUGCUCUUUCGCCAGGCUGGAGUGCAGUGGUGCGAUCUUGGCUCACCAUGUUGGUCAGGCUGGUUUCAAAUCCCUGACCUCAAGUGAUCCUCCCACCUUGGCCUCCCAAAGUGCUGGGAUUACAGGUGUGAGCCACCGCACCCGGCCCAGCCAUGCCUUGUCUUAACUAGCAUAGCCGCCCAACGUCCACUUCUUUUGGCCAUGUUGUCCUGAUUCUGCUGGAGAAUCCCUUUCCCACUGCUCCCAGACCAGUGGUGUAGCUGACCUGCGCUCUCUCCACUCAAUUCAGGGGAGGGAGGGGUUUAGGCCUGGGCUAAGAGAGCUGCACAUUUCCCAGGGCACAGUGAUUAGUUGAGGGUGGGUCCCAGAGCCAAAUCUGCCCAAGAUCUUAGCCUGAAAGAGAAACCCUCCUGCUGAGUGACUGCACUGUGAGGCAGAAGUCCAGAGCUGUGGGUGGCCAUCCAGCCUCCAUUUGCGCCUGCCUGAGAAAGAAGCCACCAUGGGGGAAAUCGAGCUAAAAGACGGAGAGGGAGGUAAGAGAGGAUGACAUCACAUAAGCACCAGAUCUGGCCACCCCUGAAACUGGAACAACCCUAAGCUUUACAGCUACUACAUUCCCUUUUCUGCUGAAGUUGUUUUACACUGGGUUUCUGUCUCUUGCAACCAAGAGCUCUGUUAAAUAAAAACCUGACCCUAAGGAGAACGUUAGCUGGUUCACAAUUCCCUGUGCAAAACAGGCACAGGUCAGCUGCCCCAGCCUGUCGUUUGGAUAUUCCUUUCUAAGAACGCUCACUUUUGUUGUCUACAUGACCCAGAUAACCAAGGAGAAAGCAAAUCAACCGCCUUCCAGCGGCGCCUUCCUUGGCAGCAAGUGCUAAGAGAGAACACAAUGUGAGUACUCUGCCCUCUGGAGUCAGGGUUGAUCCUCAGCACUUGCUGUCCUGGGAGGCUGCACCUGUGACACUUGAGUGCCAGGUUCAACCCCUACUGCUGCUGCUGCUGCCUGAAUGGGGCCAUUUAGACUGUUGAGUGCUACAGCCUCAGCCCAGGAACCCGGAGCUUCACAUGAGGCAGAGCAGGGCCCCAGGGUCCCUGAAACUUGCCAGUUCAAACAGCAGAGGGGUGAGGACUCCCCAGUCAGCCCUGGUCUCAUACCUGCCUCUGCAUGGUCCCAGUCCAGCCUGAGGCCUUUGCUUUCUUUUUUGAAGGGAAGGUGAGGAGAGAGGGGGAAAAUAGAGGUGUUCUGACUAGACUUAGGAUUCCUGGCCUCUGCCUCUGACCGCCAGAGGACAGCCUCUGCAGUUGCCUCAUCUACUCAUGAAAACAGGCCUGUGACCCCAGGGGUGCUCUGAGGAUUCUUCCAGAAAACAUCUGCCCAGCUAGGACUACCUAGCUCACUGCCCAAAAAGGGUUCAUUUCCUUUCCUUCUGAAACAAAAGCGCUUAAUUGGAAGAGAAGCAUUGACUCAAGCUAUAGGAUAUGCCACUUAAAAUGUCCAGAUCUUGGCACAAGGCCUGGCGCACAGUGUGGGAGAGAAGGAGAGAAGAAGGUGGAAGGAAAGGAGGGAGGGGAAAGAGGAAGCAGGGAGGGAGAAAAUAAGACAAGGGCCUCCUCAUCUGGAUGCUUCCCUAGACCAAGAAGUGGCCCAGGUGGUGCCCAGGGGACAGGGAGUGGGCAAUAAAAGACAAUGGGGUGUAGGUGAUAGGGUGUAGAUGAUCAGGGUAUAGGUGAUCAGGAUGUAGGUGAUGGGGUGUAGAUGACUGGGGUAUAGAUGAUUGAAGUGUAGGUGAUGGGGUAUAGAUGAUCGAGGUGUAGGUGAUGGGGUAUAGAUGAUUGAGGUGUAGGUGAUGGGGUGUAGGUGAUGGGGGUCAAGGUGAUCAAGGUGUAGGUGAUGGGGUGUUGGUGAUUGGGGUGUAGGUGAUCAGGGUGUAAGUGAUGGGGUAUAGGUGGUGGGGUGUAGAUGAUCGGGGUGUAGGUGAUGGGUAUAGGUGAUGGGGUAUAGAUGAUCAGGUUGUAGGUGAUCGGGGUAUAGGUGAUCAGGUUGUAGGUGAUGGGGUGUAGAUGAUUGGGAUAUAGAUGAUCGAGAUGUAGGUGAUGGGGUAUAGAUGAUCAAGGUGUAGGUGAUGGGGUAUAGAUGAUUGAGGUGUAGGUGAUGGGGUAUAGGUGAUGCAGUGUAGGUGAUCAGGGUAUAGGUGAUGAGGUGUAGGUGAUGGAGUGUAGAUGAUUGAGGUGUAGGUGAUGGGGUAUAGGUGAUUGGGGUGUAGGCAAUGGGGUGUAGGUGAUUGGGGUGUAGGCAAUGGGGUGUAGGUGAUUGGGGUCAAGGAGAUAGAGGUGUAGGUGAUGGGGUGUUGGUGAUUGGGGUGUAGGUGAUCAGGGUGUAGGUGAUUGGGGUGUAGGUGAUCGGGGUGUAGGUGACCAGGGUAUAGGUGAUCAGGGUGUAGGUGAUGGGAUGUAGGUGAUCAGGGUCAAGGUGAUUGAGGUGUAGGUGAUGGGAUGUUGGCAACCAGGGUGUAGGUGAUCAGGAUGUAGGUGAUGGGGUGUAGACGAUCAGGGUGUAGGUGAUGGGCUGUUGCUGACCAGGGUGUAGGUGAUCAGGGUGUAGGUGAUCCGAACUUCCUACUCAAUUCAGGCAACAGCUCCCAGCCUGAGGCAAAUACCCCCCGAGGCAGUCAGGGUCUCACCUCCCAUGGCUCUGACGCAGGCCUCCAAGGUGAGGAGAUGGAGGUAGCAGAGGUCACUUCACUCAGCUGUCACACACCCUGAGGGAACUCCUGUCACUGUUAUCCCACCUGCAAGUGAGGAGCCAGCAUUUCUCAUGCUCCAGGGUUGGCCACAGAGCCCAUUCAAGGGAGGGAGAAGAGCCUUCGGCCAGCGCAUCCUAACCGCAGAAAGCCAAGACCUCUGCAGAAAAAGAGACCAGGCCCAUAAAAAGAGAUCCAUGAGUUGAGUUCCCUGCCAUGCCACCCCCAGGCAUCUCUGCCCACCAGCCUGCAUGAGCCAGCCCCUCAGUGCAGGUUUUUCCAAUUGGCCGUUUGUUCUUCCACCCAACACUCAAGAUUUGCUUCUCAGCCUGGACAACAUAGCAAAACCCCAUCUCUACAAAAAAUACAAAAAUUAGCUGGGCAUAGUGGCACACACCUAUAGUCCCAGCUACUCGGGAGGCUGAAGUGGGAAGAUUACCUGAGCCUGGGAGGUCAAGGUUGCAGUGAGCCAUGAUCAUGCCACUGUACUCCAGCCUGGGUGACAGAGUGAGAACUUGUCUCAAAAACAAAAAAAGAGAGGAAGAUCUGCUUCUUCAAACCCACACAACUAAUAUAAAGUAAUCAACCUCCCCACCUCAAUAACCUGAAGUUAAACAUCACACAAUAAGCCCUGAACAGAGAGCUGUAGGUCAAUGUUCCAUUUUGCUUUUAAAAGCUUCACAAGAACAUUUCAUUUAUUAAAAUAGUUUCUGUAAACUCUUUCAGAAUAACAAAAUUCACUUGCCUUGCUUAAACAGCAUUUCAAGUAGAAGUAUUUUUAUUUCAAGGCACCAUAAAAUGAUGAUCUCUCUAAGAAAUACCUCUCCUUC